rnacentral:rRNA from 1 species
GAACGUCGUGAGACAGUUCGGUCCCUAUCUGCCGUGGGCGCUGGAGAACUGAGGGGGGCUGCUCCUAGUACGAGAGGACCGGAGUGGACGCAUCACUGGUGUUCGGGUUGUCAUGCCAAUGGCACUGCCCGGUAGCUAAAUGCGGAAGAGAUAAGUGCUGAAAGCAUCUAAGCACGAAACUUGCCCCGAGAUGAGUUCUCCCUGACCCUUUAAGGGUCCUGAAGGUACGUUGAAGACGACGACGCUGAUAGGCCGGGUGUGU